rnacentral:rRNA from 1 species
GGGGAAUAUUGCACAAUGGGGGAAACCCUGAUGCAGCAACGCCGCGUGAGUGAUGACGGUCUUCGGAUUGUAAAGCUCUGUCUUCAGGGACGAUAAUGACGGUACCUGAGGAGGAAGCCACGGCUAACUACGUGCCAGCAGCCGCGGUAAUACGUAGGUGGCAAGCGUUGUCCGGAUUUACUGGGAGUAAAGGAUGUGUAGGCGGAUAUUUAAGUGAGAUGUGAAAUCCCCGGGCUUAACUUGGGGGCUGCAGUUCAAACUGGAUGUCUAGAGUGCAGGAGAGGAAAGCAGAAUUCCUAGUGUAGCGGUGAAAUGCGUAGAGAUUAGGAAGAAUACCAGUGGCGAAGGCGGCUUUCUGGUCUGUAACUGACGCUGAGGCGCGAAAGCGUGGGGAGCAAAC